rnacentral:lncRNA from 1 species
CCAGAAUUGCAAGAAACAGUUAUAUCACGCACUCGUUCAUUAGUAGUAGAAUCAUCAUCAACCCAAAUAGCAGCUACUUGAGAUGCACAUGGUGUGUUAUAUACUCUUUGAUCUAAUCCACAAUCAGAUCUAAUUUUAAGACUAUGAGAUUUCAAAUUUGGAAUAUUUGUUAAAGUUCGAAAAAAAAUUGCGUAUGGAUUCAGUUCCAUCACUUUGACAAGCUUUGAAAGUAUACAUUUUGUUAACUUUUCAGAAAGUUGUAGUCGAUGCUCUAUUUCAUUUUCAGUGUCAAAAAAAUAGAGCUGCAUAUAAGAAGGGCGACCGUUUUGUACAAGAAUGUCAUUUAUAAAAUGAUAUAUUUGACCUUGAAUUCUAAAGGUAUAGAUUCCUUUGUUUCUUUUGCACAAAUCUUUAUCAUAAUGCACACCAAAUGAAGUGAAUGAGAAAUUGCUAUUGUAAGUUCGUACGUAAGUUUUAAAUUCAAUGGAUUCAGCAGAAUUUGAUGUAAAUAAAUGAUGUAAUUCAUCUGGGGUAUCAUUCACUUUCAAUCUAACAGCUCCAUCACAACAACAAAAACCUUUCGAUUCAUCUUUAAAUUUUAGAGCCCCACAAUAUUCACAUAGCACAGGGCAAGGUAAUACAUGUGAUUUGUUUGGUAUCGAAAACGAACCUUCAUUUACUGUAAAUAUUGAUGGCAUUAGCUCUGAAUGAACACGAAGCUGAUGGGUAUAAGUCGCAAAACAGCUACCUAUCACGGAAACCACAUUAGAAUCUAAAAAAGACAUAUCCCUUUAAAAAAAUGUAAAACAUGGUUAUAAAUUCAAUUUUUAACAAAACAAAUAUAUCAAAUAAACUUAUUUCGUCCAACAUCAAUGUUACAAACUUCAUUACAACGAAGACUACUAAAUAUGAAAACAUUCCCUAUAUAAUUAUACAUAACACAAAUCAAACAUGACAAAGUAAUCAUAUUCAACUAUCUAAGGAAUACAUGAUCUUUUCACUGCUAAAAACAAUAUGUAAUUAAUACAAAUAAGUUAAAUAUCUUAUUACCUACUUGAUUGUCUUCAAUUUCAGAAUUAGGAAAGAGAGAAAUUG